CCUGCCAGUAGUCAUAUGCUUGUCUCAAAGAUUAAGCCAUGCACGUCUAAGAUCGCUAGGGGUGGGCAACCACUUACGAGUAAUCUGCGAAAGGCUCAUUAUAACAGUUACAAACUUGGCUACUAGUUUCCCCACAAGGAUAACACAGCCAAAUGCAGCGAUAAUACUUGAACAAACGUUGGUGAAUUGUAUAGCCAACAAACAGUAGCAACAAAGGAAUGUCUGCUACAUAUCCCCGCAAGGGGUGUUGACCAUAGUAAUGUGGCCUAGAAGAGGUAUUUCUUCCUUAUCAGUUAGUUGUUUCAGUAAGGGUGAAACAAGACUAUUACGGGUACGGGGAAUCAGUGUUCGAUUCCGGAGAGGGAGCCUGAGAAAUGGCUACUACAUCUAAGGAUGGCAGCAGGCGCGAAAAUUACCCAAUCCUAACAUUUUUGGGAGGUAGUGACAAGAAAUAACGACCUUACACGUGACAUAAGUCUGUGGAAGGGUUUCUUUGCAAUGGUUCUAGUUUAAAUCUCUAGGAGAGUAGCGAUUGGAGGACAAGUCUGGUGCCAGCACCCGCGGUAAUUCCAGCUCCAAAAGCAUAUACUAAAAUUGCUGUAGUUAAAACGCUCGUAGUUUAUAAGUAGGCGUACACGCUGUAUCCCUACCCUUAGCCUGUACCUUUUAUGGUCUGGCUCGAGGGAGAUUAACUCGUGAGUGUUCCGACUAUUGAAACCGUGAACAAAUUAAUGUGUUUAAAGCAAGCUUAUGCUUGGCAACAAGUAUCGCUUGAAUAAUUUAGCAUGGAACCCCUUUUUCCCCCGACUGGUAACCCCAGUUGGGGGAUGAGAAAAUAAAAGGUCGGCGGAGGACUCUGGUAUUGUGUGCUUAGAGGUGAAAUUCCGAAAUUUACGCAAGACGAUCGGAGGCGUAGGCUGUCAUUGCCCAUCACACCUUUAUUGAUCAGGAACGAAAGUCAGGGGAUCGAAGAUGAGAAAAU
rnacentral:rRNA from 1 species